rnacentral:rRNA from 1 species
AGGCUUAACACAUGCAAGUCGAGCGGGCGUAGCAAUACGUCAGCGGCAGACGGGUGAGUAACGCGUGGGAACGUACCUUUUGGUUCGGAACAACACAGGGAAACUUGUGCUAAUACCGGAUAAGCCCUUACGGGGAAAGAUUUAUCGCCGAAAGAUCGGCCCGCGUCUGAUUAGCUAGUUGGUGAGGUAAUGGCUCACCAAGGCGACGAUCAGUAGCUGGUCUGAGAGGAUGAUCAGCCUCUUUGGGACUGAGACACGGCCCAAACUCCUACGGGAGGCAGCAGUGGGGAAUAUUGGACAAUGGGGGCAACCCUGAUCCAGCCAUGCCGCGUGAGUGAUGAAGGCCCUAGGGUUGUAAAGCUCUUUUGUGCGGGAAGAUAAUGACGGUACCGCAAGAAUAAGCCCCGGCUAACUUCGUGCCAGCAGCCGCGGUAAUACGAAGGGGGCUAGCGUUGCUCGGAAUCACUGGGCGUAAAGGGUGCGUAGGCGGGUCUUUAAGUCAGGGGUGAAAUCCUGGAGCUCAACUCCAGAACUGCUUUGAUACUGAGGAUCUUGAGUUCGGGAGAGGUGAGUGGAACUGCGAGUGUAGAGGUU